rnacentral:rRNA from 1 species
AUGUUCAAUAGGACAGUAAUCUUGUGUGCACAUGGUCUAAAAGUGCUUGAUUUGAUGAACAUAAAGACAUUGCCGGCACAUUAUGUCUUGAAGAGAUGGACUAGAGAAGCUCGCAAUGGAAGUAUACAAGAUAGACAAGGAAGGAAUGUGGUAGAAAAUCCAAAAAUGAAAGCUGAACUUCGAUACAAGGAUUUGUCUCAUAAAUUUCACAAAAUGUUACAAAAAGCAGCCAACUCUCCACAAUGUUGUAUUCUAUUGGAUAAUGCACUUGAUUCCGUCGCUCCGCAUAUACAUGAUUUACUCAAUGCAUCCACUAGUGCCAUGAAUGAACUAUGUAAAGACAAAGAGAAUGUUGACCCAAAUGUGCAGCAAAUAGAUGAGUUGCUUAGAUCUGCACGACUGAAGAAAAAAGAGAUUCAGUCAAAGAACUUAAGGAGAAAGGAAAAUUGGCUUGAUACGUUACUCAAGAGGAAGCACAGAGUAACUAAAGGACCAACAAAACAAGGAGAAAAGAUAUGUUGCAAUUGGUACAUGAUAUGUUGUUAUUGCUCAUUUGUUAACUAA